rnacentral:rRNA from 1 species
GACGAACGCUGGCGGCGUGCCUAAUACAUGCAAGUCGAACGCUGAAGGAGGAGCUUGCUUCUCUGGAUGAGUUGCGAACGGGUGAGUAACGCGUAGGUAACCUGCCUGGUAGCGGGGGAUAACUAUUGGAAACGAUAGCUAAUACCGCAUAAGAGUAGAUGUUGCAUGACAUUUGCUUAAAAGGUGCAAUUGCAUCACUACCAGAUGGACCUGCGUUGUAUUAGCUAGUUGGUGGGGUAACGGCUCACCAAGGCGACGAUACAUAGCCGACCUGAGAGGGGGAUCGGCCACACUGGGACUGAGACACGGCCCAGACUCCUACGGGAGGCAGCAGUAGGGAAUCUUCGGCAAUGGACGGAAGUCUGACCGAGCAACGCCGCGGGAGUGAAGAAGGUUUUCGGAUCGUAAAGCUCUGUUGUAAGAGAAGAACGAGUGUGAGAGUGGAAAGUUCACACUGUGACGGUAGCUUACCAGAAAGGGACGGCUAACUACGUG